rnacentral:rRNA from 1 species
CAAUACGAAGGGACCUAGCGUAGUUCGGAAUUACUGGGCGCAAAGCGCGCGUAGGCCGUUGAGUUAGUUAAUUGUGAAAUCCCAAAGCUUAACUUUGGAACUGCAAUUAAAACUGCUCGACUAGAGUUUGAUAGAGGAAAGCGGAAUACAUAGUGUAGAGGUGAAAUUCGUAGAUAUUAUGUAGAACGCCAGUUGCGAAGGCGGCUUUCUGGAUCAACACUGACGCUGAGGCGCGAAAGUAUGGGUAGCAAAGAGGAUUAGAUACCCUCGUAGUCCAUACCAUAAACGAUGAUUGCUAGAUGUUGGAAAUUUAUUUUCAGUAUCGCAGCUAACGCAUUAAGCAAUCCGCCUGGGGAGUACGACCGCAAGGUUAAAACUCAAGUGAAUUGGCGGGGACCCGCACAAGCGGUGGAGCAUGUGGUUUAAUUCGAAGAUACGCGCAGAACCUUACCAACCCUUGACAUGUCUGUCGCGAGUUUAGGAAACUAGAC